rnacentral:rRNA from 1 species
GAUGAACGCUGGCGGCGUGCCUAAUACAUGCAAGUCGAGCGAACAGACGAGGAGCUUGCUCCUCUGACGUUAGCGGCGGACGGGUGAGUAACACGUGGAUAACCUACCUAUAAGACUGGGAUAACUUCGGGAAACCGGAGCUAAUACCGGAUAAUAUAUUGAACCGCAUGGUUCAAUAGUGAAAGACGGUUUUGCUGUCACUUAUAGAUGGAUCCGCGCCGCAUUAGCUAGUUGGUAAGGUAACGGCUUACCAAGGCAACGAUGCGUAGCCGACCUGAGAGGGUGAUCGGCCACACUGGAACUGAGACACGGUCCAGACUCCUACGGGAGGCAGCAGUAGGGAAUCUUCCGCAAUGGGCGAAAGCCUGACGGAGCAACGCCGCGUGAAUGAUGAAGGUCUUCGGAUCGUAAAACUCUGUUAUUAGGGAAGAACUAAUGUGUAAGUAACUAUGCACGUCUUGACGGUACCUAAUCAGAAAGCCACGGCUAACUACGUG